rnacentral:rRNA from 1 species
GUGCCAGCAGCCGCGGUAAUACGUAGGUGGCAAGCGUUAUCCGGAAUUAUUGGGCGUAAAGCGCGCGUAGGCGGUUUUUUAAGUCUGAUGUGAAAGCCCACGGCUCAACCGUGGAGGGUCAUUGGAAACUGGAAAACUUGAGUGCAGAAGAGGAAAGUGGAAUUCCAUGUGUAGCGGUGAAAUGCGCAGAGAUAUGGAGGAACACCAGUGGCGAAGGCGACUUUCUGGUCUGUAACUGGCGCUGAUGUGCGAAAGCGUGGGGAUCAAACAGGAUUAGA